GGUUCCCNUUGAGAAGUAAAAGUCGUAACAAGGUUUCCGUAGGUGAACCUGCGGAAGGAUCAUUAUUGAAAGCUUUGGGGAUACUGAUGCUGGUUUCUAACGAGGGCAUGUGCACGUAUCUCUAAUCCAUUCAUCCACCUGUGCACCUUUUGUAGAAGUUCAUUCAGGAUUGGCUUGCAAGUGUCUUAUGGACCUUGUUUACAGUUGGUUUUGAAAGGCUUCUAUGUUCUUACAAACUAGUUAAGCAUGUUUAGAAUGUUGUUUCUGGGGACUUAAUUGACCCUUUAAACUUGUACAACUUUCAGCAACGGAUCUCUUGGCUCUCCCAUCGAUGAAGAACGCAGCGAAAUGCGAUAAGUAAUGUGAAUUGCAGAAUUCAGUGAAUCAUCGAAUCUUUGAACGCACCUUGCGCCCUCUGGUAUUCCGGAGGGCAUGCCUGUUUGAGUGUCAUUAAAUUCUCAACUUCAAUAGUUUUUAUAACUUGUUGAAGCUUGGAUGUGGGGGUUUGCUGGCGUCUUAGAUGUUCGGCUCCUCUUAAAUGCAUUAGUAGGAACCCGUUUGUUGGCUUCUAAAGUGUGAUAAUUAUCUACGCUUUGGCUAGUUCAACGACUCUAACUCAGAACGUUGGGUUUUGUACUUUAUUGUGCUUUACCUGGUUUGUUCUCAGAAUGCUAAGGUGUUCUGGAUUUGGGUGUUGCACUUUUUGUGCUUACCUUUAGAGUGGGACUCUGCUUUCUAACCGUCCGUAUAUGCGGACAAUUUUUGACAAUCUGACCUCAAAUCAGGUAGGACUACCCGCUGAACUUAAGCAUAUCAUAA
rnacentral:rRNA from 1 species